rnacentral:rRNA from 1 species
GAGAGCCGUAACGACAGGUGCUGCAUGGCUGUCGUCAGCUCGUGUCGUGAGAUGUUGGGUUAAGUCCCGCAACGAGCGCAACCCUUGUCAUUAGUUGCUACGAAAGGGCACUCUAAUGAGACUGCCGGUGACAAACCGGAGGAAGGUGGGGAUGACGUCAAGUCCUCAUGGCCCUUAUAGGUGGGGCUACACACGUCAUACAAUGGCUGGUACAAAGGGUUGCCAACCCGCGAGGGGGAGCCAAUCCCAUAAAGCCAGUCGUAGUCCGGAUCGCAGUCUGCAACUCGACUGCGUGAAGUCGGAAUCGCUAGUAAUCGUGGAUCAGCAUGUCACGGUGAAUACGUUCCCGGGUCUU